GACGAACGCUGGCGGCGUGCCUAAUACAUGCAAGUUGAGCGCUGAAGGUUGGUACUUGUACCAACUGGAUGAGCAGCGAACGGGUGAGUAACGCGUGGGGAAUCUGCCUUUGAGCGGGGGACAACAUUUGGAAACGAAUGCUAAUACCGCAUAAAAACUUUAAACACAAGUUUUAAGUUUGAAAGAUGCAAUUGCAUCACUCAAAGAUGAUCCCGCGUUGUAUUAGCUAGUUGGUGAGGUAAAGGCUCACCAAGGCGAUGAUACAUAGCCGACCUGAGAGGGUGGUCGGCCACAUUGGGAAUGAGACACGGCCCAAGCUCCUACGGGAGGCAGCAGUAGGGAAUCUUCGGCAAUGGACGAAAGUCUGACCGAGCAACGCCGCGUGAGUGAAGAAGGUUUUCGGAUCGUAAAACUCUGUUGGUAGAGAAGAACGUUGGUGAGAGUGGAAAGCUCAUCAAGUGACGGUAACUACCCAGAAAGGGACGGCUAACUACGUG
rnacentral:rRNA from 1 species